rnacentral:tRNA from 1 species
GGGCCUGUAACUCAGUGGUAGAGUAUCUGACUUUUAAUCAGAGAGUCGAUGGUUCAAGUCCAUCCAGGCUCACCA